rnacentral:rRNA from 1 species
CCCCCCGGCCCGGGAUAGCCCAGGGAAACCUGGAUUAAUACCGGAUGAGACGGGACCCGCGAAGGCGGGACCGGGAAAGGCGCUGCGGCGCCGGCGGGGGAUGAGUCUGCGUCCCAUUAGCUAGACGGCGGGGUAACGGCCCACCGUGGCGACGAUGGGUAGCCGGCCUGAGAGGGUGGACGGCCACAUUGGAACUGAGACACGGUCCAGACUCCUACGGGAGGCAGCAGCUAAGAAUCUUCCGCAAUGGGCGAAAGCCUGACGGAGCGACGCCCGCGUGAACGAAGAAGGCCGUGAGGUUGUAAAGUUCUUUUCGGGAGGGGGAACAACCGUGGCAGGGAAUGGCCGCGGGGAUGACGUGAAUCCCGGAAUAAGCCCCGGCUAACUACGUGCCAGCAGCGGC